UUGUUGUAGUCGUUGUUGUUGGAGUAGUGUUUACUGGAGUAGUUGUUGUAGUAGUUGUUGCUUUUUAUAAUAGAAAUGUUAGAAAACUUCUACGUAUGUAGUUAGCUAUUGAUGGUAUUAAAGUGGUAAAAAUACUAAAUAAUUAACACUAUAGGCGCCAAACUUUUUAAAAGGCAGGGGAGGUAGGGAUAGCUAGACACCCAAUCCUGUGAAACAAAUCUGCCUUUUUGUCUGAAUAAUGCAGUGCUACACAUUCCUGUGUAAUUACACUGCCACCUCAGUUUUGCAGGUACUUAAAAAGGCUUACAUUCUGUGGGGUAUAUGUCUUCAGGUGUACAUUUUCCACACUGUUUUCUGCAGCCUUGUUGAGCAAGCCUGCUCUGUAGGCAUUGUAUACUAGUGGGGGAAAAUCGUUGGCAAAUACGGCCUCUGGCGUCUUCACACACUUUAGGCCCUUCAGGUUCUUACCGGUCUGUGCAAACCCCACAAGUAUUUGGACAUGUAGCUCUAUAAUAUGAACCAUAGGUUGAAUGGUUACAAAGACUUUCAACACAAUGCGGAAUUGUAUCAACACAAUCUGCAACUACAAAAGUGUUCUUACCGGAUGAGAAAAUGUCCAGGUAAGUCGAAUUUAAACUAAAACAUUGGUUAUGCUGCUAUGCACAGUUGUAAUAAACACCUACACAUGCAUUGGCUUAAACCGCGGCUAUCUCAAAC